rnacentral:lncRNA from 1 species
AUGGAGAUGAGAUGGUGCCAAUGCCAAAAGAGAUUGGGAAACUGUCAUGGGUUCAGUACAGACACACUGAUGCAGUCAGGGCAGCUGUGGGAAGAGUCUGGGGAGCUGGAGCUGACUCAGCUGGGAGCAGAAGAGUCCUUUGCGUGGGCGUAUGAGGAAGCCUUGAGAAGAUGGAAUCAGAUUCUUCACAGUGAGGGAAGGGCCAAGUCCAUGGUUAUGAAUCUUGAUCCUGAGAGGAACGAGGAAUGCCUUUUGAACGUACUGAUGUGCAUGUCACCAAAAACAAGAGUGCAGAGUUCUUUGGACACCAAGAGUGAUAAAUCAAGCAUCAAUAUCUGCACUAAGCCAGAAGAAGAAACAGGAGAAAGAGGACAAAAGAGAAAACAGUGGUUGAAAAAGUACCAGAUAUAUUUGUCCAAAAGUUUAUACUAUCCACAAUCCAUAUGUCAGUGGUACAGUGUUGUGAAUAUUUGCAUUAUACUGAGAUCAUACUGUGUUGGCUAUUUUUAA